AAGUCGUAACAAGGUCUCCGUAGGUGAACCUGCGGAGGGAUCAUUAAUGAGAACUUGCCCUAACGGGUAGAUCUCCCACCCUUUUGUUAACCAAACUUGUUCCUUUGACUCGCCCGGACCUGCGGUCGCCCUUCGGGCUGUCAGCGCCGGACAGAGGAAACUAAAACCUUUAUCACUGUCGUCAGAGUACUAUAUAACAGUUAAAA
rnacentral:misc_RNA from 1 species